rnacentral:rRNA from 1 species
GUGGGGAAUAUUGCACAAUGGGGGAAACCCUGAUGCAGCGACGCCGCGUGAGCGAAGAAGUAUUUCGGUAUGUAAAGCUCUAUCAGCAGGGAAGAUAAUGACGGUACCUGACUAAGAAGCUCCGGCUAAAUACGUGCCAGCAGCCGCGGUAAUACGUAUGGAGCAAGCGUUAUCCGGAUUUACUGGGUGUAAAGGGAGCGUAGGCGGUGGUGCAAGUCUGAUGUGAAAACCCGGGGCUCAACCCCGGGACUGCAUUGGAAACUGCGUCACUUGAGUGUCGGAGGGGUAAGUGGAAUUCCUAGUGUAGCGGUGAAAUGCGUAGAUAUUAGGAGGAACACCAGUGGCGAAGGCGGCUUACUGGACGACAACUGACGCUGAGGCUCGAAAGCGUGGGGAGCAAACAGGAUUAGAAACCCUAGUAGUCC